rnacentral:RNase_P_RNA from 1 species
GAGCCGGCCGGGCGAUCGCGGCCAGGCGAACCACCCACCGACCACAAGGGUAGGCGCCACGUCGAGGAAAGUCCGGACUCCACAGAGCGGGGUGGUUGUUAACGGCAACCCAGGGUGACCUGCGGGAUUAGUGCAACAGAAAGUAAACCGCCCGGCACACACAGUGCCAGGUAAGGGUGAAACGGUGCGGUAAGAGCGCACCAGCGGGGUAGGCGACUACCUCGGCUAUGUAAACCCCACCCGGAGCAAGGCAAGCAAGGCGCAGCCGGCACCCGUCGAUUGUGCCCGGCAUACGUUCGAGGGCUGCUCGCCCGAAGUAUGCAGGUAGCCGCUUGAGGCAGCCAGCAAUGGUUUGCUCAGAUGGAUGAUCGCCGCCCACAGAAUCCGGCUUACAGGUCGACUCA